AGGUCAGCUAGGAGUAAUAUAGGAAUUCUCUAACUUUUUCUAGCUUUAAAAAUAUUCUUAGAUAAGUAAAUAAAUCGAGGUAAGAAAAGCUUAUUAAUUAAGUAUAAUUGAAUAAUGUUUUUGAGUUGAAUAAUGUUUUUGAGUUGAAUAAUUUUUUAAAAAUGUGUUGUAUUAAUUGCAGUAGAAAUUGACUUUAAUUUG
rnacentral:lncRNA from 1 species